GUUUGUUAUGAUUUAACAAAUAUGGCUGCUAAUAAAAUGCCGUGUUUUGAAGCCGAGUUUUACCGAAUAUCACCUUAUAUUAAACGAAUCAUGUGCACAAAAAGCAUGAGUAUUGAGCACGUAUUUGACAUGUAUAAUCAGAUAUUUUUUAUUUCAAUGACAGAUCCAUGCAUAUUGCGAUCACCGGAUUUUUACGAGGAGAGUUACGCUCG
rnacentral:lncRNA from 1 species